CCCUUUACUCCUACGGGAGGCAGCAGUGGGGAAUAUUGGACAAUGGGCGAAAGCCUGAUCCAGCCAUGCCGCGUGUGUGAAGAAGGUCUUCGGAUUGUAAAGCACUUUAAGUUGGGAGGAAGGGUUGUAGAUUAAUACUCUGCAAUUUUGACGUUACCGACAGAAUAAGCACCGGCUAACUCUGUGCCAGCAGCCGCGGUAAUACAGAGGGUGCAAGCGUUAAUCGGAAUUACUGGGCGUAAAGCGCGCGUAGGUGGUUCGUUAAGUUGGAUGUGAAAUCCCCGGGCUCAACCUGGGAACUGCAUCCAAAACUGGCGAGCUAGAGUAUGGUAGAGGGUGGUGGAAUUUCCUGUGUAGCGGUGAAAUGCGUAGAUAUAGGAAGGAACCACCAGUGGCGAAGGCGACCACCUGGACUGAUACUGACACUGAGGUGCGAAAGCGUGGGGAGCAAACAGGAUUAGAUACCCUGGUAGUCCACGCCGUAAACGAUGUCAACUAGCCGUUGGGAGCCUUGAGCUCUUAGUGGCGCAGCUAACGCAUUAAGUUGACCGCCUGGGGAGUACGGCCGCAAGGUUAAAACUCAAAUGAAUUGACGGGGGCCCGCACAAGCGGUGGAGCAUGUGGUUUAAUUUGAAGCAACGCGAAGAACCUUACCAGGCCUUGACAUCCAAUGAACUUCCAGAGAUGGAUGGGCC
rnacentral:rRNA from 1 species